GAGCGUGAAGUUCUCUUAAGGUCUGAGGUUCGAGUCCCGUGCUGCACUGAGGAGUGUUUUUUUUUACCACCUGUGUAGUGAGGUGGUAGAGUUGGACUGGAAUACUGCUUAAUGGAGUUUGAAUUGAUCAUGGAGGGAGUUGAGGAGGAUUUGAUGGAGUAAAUCAAGGAGGGAUAAUGGGAGAGAUUUGUAGAGCAAAUUAAGGAAUUUGAUGAGAACGGGGAGUGUGUGCCAUUUGGGGUAUUCCAACAGUGAGAAUUCGGUUGGGGGUGGGUGUUUGUGCCGAAUUUAGUCACUUAGCACUAAAGGUUUUCAAUUUUGGUCUUUUUUUUUGGAGUUUUCUCUGAGUUUGCUUUGAUUUUGGGGAGUUUCGAGUUUUACGUUUUAGUCUUGGUGCCAAAUUUUUGCCUAGUUUUCAGAAGUACAUCUCGGGAUUGAUCAUUUUUCUUUUCUUUUCUUUUUUUUCCUCUCUUUUUCCCCUAUUGCCGAAUCCUCAUUUUACUUUCUUUUCCUUUUCUUUUUUCUUCUGGCCGAACCUUUCUUCUCUUCUCUUUUUUCUUCUUU
rnacentral:lncRNA from 1 species